rnacentral:rRNA from 1 species
GACGAACGCUGGCGGCGUGCUUAAAAACAUGCAAGUCGAACGGACUUCUCAUGAAGCUUGCGAUUGAGAAGUUAGUGGCGGACGGGUGAGUAACGCGUGGGCAACCUGCCCCUGAGCCCGGGAUAACAGUUCGAAAGGACUGCUAAGACCGGAUAUACUUGCGGUGAAGCAUUUCACUGCAAGGAAAGGGAACGCUCAGGGGAUGGGCCCGCGUCCCAUUAGCUAGUUGGUGAGGUAACGGCCCACCAAGGCGACGAUGGGUAGCCGGCCUGAGAGGGUGAACGGCCACACUGGGACUGAGACACGGCCCAGACUCCUACGGGAGGCAGCAGUUGGGAAUCUUCGGCAAUGGGCGCAAGCCUGACCGAGCAACGCCGCGUGAGUGAUGAAGGUUUUCGGAUUGUAAAGCUCUGUCUUCCGGGACGAUAAUGACGGUACCGGAGGAGGAAGCCACGGCUAACUACGUGCCAGCAGCCGCGGUAAGCAUACUCGUA